rnacentral:rRNA from 1 species
UACGUAGGGUGCGAGCGUUAAUCGGAAUUACUGGGCGUAAAGCGUGCGCAGGCGGUUUUGUAAGCCAGAUGUGAAAUCCCCGGGCUUAACCUGGGAAUGGCAUUUGGGACUGCAAGGCUGGAGUGCGGCAGAGGAGACUGGAAUUCCUGGUGUAGCAGUGAAAGUGCGUAGAUAUCAGGAGGAACACCGAUGGCGGAAGGCAGGUCUCUGGGCUGACACUGGCGCUCAUGCACGAAGCGUGGGAGC